rnacentral:rRNA from 1 species
AAGUUUAGCAACUUUCAUUUCGUGAAUUUCACAAAGAUGGAGGCGAAGGAAUGUGCGGGCCUAGACCUAAUGCUCGCCACUGCUAUGAUGCAGAAGAUCCCCUACCAGUAUGCCUUCGUCAAGAGGCUGGGAUACCUCAGAUGAGCUAGAGUGAACGGCGAGCGCCCCCUGCCAUUUAGUGUUCACUGUGCUGCCAGCCACUUGACUGCGAGCGUGACAACUCCAGCGAGGGGCGAGCACCACUGCACACCGCACCGAGGGCCCGACGCCUGGCGGAGAAUCAGGGUUCGACUCCGGAGAACGGGCCUGAGAGACGGCCCGCACAUCCAAGGACGGCAGCAGGCGCGGAGCUUGCCCACUACGCGCAAGGCAGCGUCGAAGAGGGCCUUCCUCGAGGAUCGUAUGCUGAAGUACGGAAGACUGCAGGAUACUAAGCGAUUGUUUACUACCCUGCGAAGCCUACUUCUUCUUGUGGCAGAGGACCUGUUGACGAUGAGGAUAGCCGCAACGAAGAUACCCACUAUCGCGUUGAAAAAGAAGUCUGAAUCCCUGCUGCACACAACCGCUGUCCGUAUCGGAUGAUGAAUCAGCAGGGCAGUCCUUAACAUAUGACUUCUUGUUGAGGUCGAACCUUUAGCUAUCUUCACAAGACGUGCAAGUAACCAUCCCAUCCUUCUUAGCGCAUGUCUUACAGCCUGUUGUCCCCGCCGAGGCGCACGCGCUGCAGGUCUUGGUCUCUUCGUCGAUGUAGUUAGUGCCCGUGCAACUAGCCUUGUUAACGCAUGUGCCUGUUUGGCUAUCCGUCUCCUUCUGUAAGUAGAUCUUAUCACCACUGGUCUUGCACUUGUUGCACUUCUUAGCCCCAGAAGCCGCACAGACGUCGCAAUUAUCAUCGGUGCAGGCGGUGCACACCUUCGAGGAGGUACUGCCGCUUGCAGUGGUCUCCACGAAGAACCCGUCCUUGCACUCAGUCGGCUCGACGCAGGAUGUCACACUCUUUCCUGAAGCAGUUACAGUCUUGACUAUCUUGGUGCCUGUGCACUCUGUGCACGUCGCUGCUGCUGUACCACCGUUAGACCCUUGGAUCGCUUGCGGUGCAUUACACUUAGCACAGCCGUCCACGCCCUUGUAGACUUUGCUGUCCUUAACUGCUGCCCCCUCACUGUCUCCACAGGACACAACUGACUGAUAGGCAUUAUCUCUGUCAGCGUCUGGAACGAGAAAGCAGCUGUCCGAAGCAGCAGUCCCACACUUCCCUUCGGGGGCAGCGGUACAAAUACUGUUUCCUGGAGCAUCCUUCGAGUUGUAACACCCGCCCUUGUACAUGAAGUAGUUGGCCGCACAAGACUUGCACACUCCUUCAGUUGGCGUUCCACCGCAGUUGUUAGCGGAGUCUAUACUUGCAGCCACGCACUUCCCGUCCAUAAGGUGUUCAUCUAGCUUAGAACACUUUG